ACUCCUACGGGAGGCAGCAGUGGGGAAUAUUGCUCAAUGGGCGCAAGCCUGAAGCAGUGACGCCGCGUGAGGGAUGAAGGCCUUCGGGUUGUAAACCUCUUUCAGCUCCGAAGAAGCGAAAGUGACGGUAGGAGCAAAAGAAGCACCGGCUAACUACGUGCCAGCAGCCGCGGUAAUACGUAGGGUGCAAGCGUUGUCCGGAUUUAUUGGGCGUAAAGAGCUCGUAGGCGGUCUGUCGCGUCUGCUGUGAAAACUCGGGGCUUAACCCCGGGCCUGCAGUGGGUACGGGCAGACUAGAGUGCGGUAGGGGAGACUGGAAUUCCUGGUGUAGCGGUGAAAUGCGCAGAUAUCAGGAGGAACACCGGUGGCGAAGGCGGGUCUCUGGGCCGUACCUGACGCUGAGGAGCGAAAGCAUGGGUAGCGAACAGGAUUAGAUACCCUGGUAGUCCAUGCCGUAAACGUUGGGCGCUAGGUGUGGGGCUCAUUCCACGAGUUCCGUGCCGCAGCAAACGCAUUAAGCGCCCCGCCUGGGGAGUACGGCCGCAAGGCUAAAACUCAAAGGAAUUGACGGGGCCCCGCACAAGCGGCGGAGCAUGCGGAUUAAUUCGAUGCAACGCGAGGAACCUUACCAAGGCUUGACAUGCAGGGAAAUCUCACAGAGAUGUGAGGUCCGCAAGGGUCCUGCGCAGGUGAUGCAUGGUUGUCGUCAGCUCGUGUCGUGAGAUGUUGGGUUAAGUCCCGCAACGAGCGCAACCCUCGUUCUAUGUUGCCAGCGGAUAAUGCCGGGGACUCAUAGGAGACUGCCGGGGUCAACUCGGAGGAAGGUGGGGAUGACGUCAAAUCAUCAUGCCCCUUAUGUCUUGGGCUUCACGCAUGCUACAAUGGCCAGUACAAAGGGCUGCGAGACCGUAAGGUGGAGCGAAUCCCAAAAAGCUGGUCUCAGUUCGGAUUGGGGCCUGCAACUCGACCCCAUGAAGUCGGAGUCGCUAGUAAUCGCAGAUCAGCAACGCUGCGGUGAAUACGUUCCCGGGGCUUGUACACACCGCCCGU
rnacentral:rRNA from 1 species